UUAUUGUCAUGUAAAAAGGGUUUCUUUACAUGCUCCAAAUUGUUAUUAUUAUUAUUAUUAUUGUCGUGGUUUCAGUGGUAGAGAUAUUGUGGAAAGCCCCAAUCAGUUCUUGAAAUCUGUGAGAGAUCGAUGCAGAUCUCGAAGCUUAAGGAAUCUUGAUGAUGCCUUGGGCUUGUUUGAUAGAAUGCUUCACAUGCACCCUUUGCCUUCCCUCGUGGAUUUUACUCAAUUGCUGACUGCAAUUGCAAGAAUGAAGCAUCACUCAACCGUGAUUUCUCUGAUUAAAGAAAUGGAACUGUCAGGAAUUACUCCCAAUGUAUAUACUAUGGGCAUUCUGAUUAAUUGCUUCUGCCAUUUGAAUCAGUUGGAUUUCGGCUUCUCUAUCUUAGCUAGAAUUUUGAAACUUGGUUUUCAACCAAACUGUAUAAUUCUUAGUACUCUUGUCAAGGGGCUCUGUCUUCAUGGUAACAUUACUGAAGCUGUGAAGUUGGUUAACAAAAUGGAGAAAAUAGGCUAUAACCCAAAUACAAUUACUUAUGGAACAUUAAUGAACGGUUUGUGUAAAAUAGGUGAGACCAGAGUGGCUAUUAGGUUGUUAAGAAAGAUGGAUGAAAGAAAUCUUGAACUUGAUGUAGUGAAGUAUAGCAUAAUAAUUGAUAGUUUAUGUAAGGACAGAUCAGUAACUGAAGCUUUGACUUUUUUCUCCGAAAUGACGAAUAGAGGAAUUCAGCCAGACGUUUUCACUUUCAAUUCUUUAAUUCAGGGCCUAUGCAAUUUUGGCCGGUUGAAGGAGAUAACUAAACUAUUGAAUAAGAUGGUGGAAAGGAAAAUCAUGCCAAAUUUGCAUACAUUCAACAUAGUAGUGGACACACUUGGCAAAGAGGGGAUGUUGACGGAGGCUGAAGAAGUUUUUGAUGUGAUGAUUCAAAGAGGCAUAGAGCCUAAUACAAUCACUUACAAUUCUAUGAUUGACGGUUAUUGUUUGCAAUAUAGAAUGGAUGAAGCUGUCAAAACAUUUAAUACGAUGGUUCGAAAGGGUUGUUCGCCUUCUAUUGUUAGCUAUAACAUAUUGAUCCAUGGAUUUUGCAAAAAUAAAAGAAUUGAUGAGGCAAUGAGUCUCUUCCGUGAAAUGUCCACAAAGGGAAUUUUUCCCGAUGUUGUCACUUACAGUACUCUUAUCGGUGGGUUUUGUCGAGUUGGGAGACCUAAGAAUGCAUUAGAGCUACUCCAUGAGAUGCAACGUUAUGACCAACAUCCUGAUUGCCAAACUUAUGCUAUUUUGUUAGAUGGGUUGUGUAAGAAUCUACACUUUCCAGAGGCAAUGGCAUUGUUUCAAGGGCUGGAAGACAAAAUUUUACACCAUAAUAUUGUGAUUUACAACAUCUUGAUUGAUGGUAUGUGUAAUGCUAGGAAACUUUUGACUGCAAGAGAACUCUUUAAUACUCUUUCUACCAAAGAUUUGCAAGCUGAUGUUUGGACUUACAAUAUAAUGAUCAAAGGGCUUUGCAAAGAGGGACUACUAAAGGAAGCGAUGGUGCUAUUUGAUCAAAUGGAAGAAAAUGGUUGUUCACCUGACCAUUUCACAUAUAACACAAUCAUCCAAGGCUUCUUGCAAUAUAAUGAGACAUCAUGGGUAGUGAAAUACCUCCAAAGGAUGGUUAACAAUGGUUUCUCAGCAAAUGCGACCACCACAAGCAUUUUGAUUGAUCUUUUGUCCACCAAACAGGCAGAUAAAACAUUACAAGAAUUCUUUCAAAAGUCUGUGUGAAAGCUUUCUAGUUCUUCAACUUGCAUGACAAAUUUCAUAUUCCAACCUUUAAUGAGUCAAUCUUUAAGGAAUAAAUACCUAUUUGCUGCAAGUCAUUAAGAUAGCGAGGGGUAUAUACCUCAGCACUCCCAAAACCAAAAAAUUCUCUGAAGAUGGUGAAAAUGAUAAGCUUAGAUAUGGUUUAUCAUCCAUGCAAGGUUGGCGCGCAACCAUGGAAGAUGCUGUGACAUGGAAUUCAAGCAGAAUAAAUAUUUGUCUGCUGAAAAGCAAAUUGUAACUGCCAAUCCAGAUAUUAAUGCUGUUGAGCUUUGCGAUGAUGAUGAGUUUAUCGUGUUAGCAUGUGAUGGCAUCUGGGAUUGCAUGUCAAGCCAGCAACUAGUAGAUUUUAUUCAUGAACAACUAAGCAUGGAAAGCAAGCUUUCUGUGGUGUGUGAGAGAGUACUUGAUAGGUGUUUGGCACCGUCAACAGCUGGUGGUGAGGGAUGUGACAACAUGACCAUGAUCUUGGUGCAGUUCAAGAAACCCACUGCGUCCGUUGAUGACCAAUCCUCACCGUCCAAACCAGCUGAUCAUCUUGAAUCAAAGCUGGAGGAAAGUAUACCAAAAUAGUUGCUGCGGUGCAUCCACAAGUCAUAUCCAAAUACCGCAUAAAUCUCUCAUUGGAAGGAAAUAUGAGAAACCCUCUUUCAUGGGUUCUCGGAUCUGUAACUGAUCACUGUAGAGAUGGGAUUGUAAGAUGAGAUCAAAUAUUCAGAAAAAUCAUUUAUUUAUGGUGUUCUGAGUGUUUAUAGGUUUGACAACUCCACAAUAUCACAACUUAAAUAACAUGUACAGUCUUUUAACAA